AGUAAAAGUCGUAACAAGGUUUCCGUAGGUGAACCUGCGGAAGGAUCAUUACCUAGAGUUGUAGGCUUUGCCUGCUAUCUCUUACCCAUGUCUUUUGAGUACCUUCGUUUCCUCGGCGGGUCCGCCCGCCGAUUGGACAAUUUAAACCAUUUGCAGUUGCAAUCAGCGUCUGAAAAAACUUAAUAGUUACAACUUUCAACAACGGAUCUCUUGGUUCUGGCAUCGAUGAAGAACGCAGCGAAAUGCGAUAAGUAGUGUGAAUUGCAGAAUUCAGUGAAUCAUCGAAUCUUUGAACGCACAUUGCGCCCCUUGGUAUUCCAUGGGGCAUGCCUGUUCGAGCGUCAUUUGUACCUUCAAGCUUUGCUUGGUGUUGGGUGUUUGUCUCGCCUCUGCGUGUAGACUCGCCUCAAAACAAUUGGCAGCCGGCGUAUUGAUUUCGGAGCGCAGUACAUCUCGCGCUUUGCACUCAGAACGACGACGUCCAAAAGUACAUUUUUACACUCUUGACCUCGGAUCAGGUAGGGAUACCCGCUGAACUUAAGCAUAUCAAUAAGCGGAGGA
rnacentral:rRNA from 1 species